AUUCAAUAAAGCUUCAGUUUUUCCUUUCCUAUUUUAUGAGUUACGUAUAAACACCAACACAUUACUGCUAGUAGAACUAUUACUGAUGAUAGGACCAUAGAUUAUGUUGCCUGGGAAUCGAUCAUGAAUUAUGUUGAAAGUUUAGUUUCAAUUUUUUGAAACUUCUUGGGCUGAUGGAGGAAGAAAUCAUCCACAAGCAAUUCAAAUGCUUUGAGGAAGGAGCUUAGGUCAAAACUCAAAGAUGUUGUUGAAGGAAAUGAAGAUAUUUGUUGUGUUUAAUUGCAUGUUUUGUGGCACAGAAGAUACUUGUUUUGAGUCCUCAUAUUGAUAUUUCAUGCACAUGCCAAUUAGGUACUGUGUAUGUGAAUUGGGAUUAUGUUAUUUUAAGAAAAUUAUUUCUUUAGACAUAGUUUGACUUUUGUUAUUCUGCAAAACUAAUUGGUACCUUAGAAUAAGUCUUCAAAUGAGACAGUAGAGGCUGUGGCAUAUACAAGCAUAUCUUAUUUCCUGCAUAGCCUUAUUCAUUGAUUUUGAUACCUUGUAUUCAUUGAUUUUGAUA